GUUCAUAAUGGCUGAGCUCAUUCAAACUGAAAAGGCUUAUGUAAGAGACCUCCGGGAAUGUAUGGAUACGUACCUGUGGGAAAUGACCAGUGGCGUGGAAGAGAUUCCACCUGGCAUUGUAAACAAAGAACUCAUCAUCUUUGGAAACAUGCAAGAAAUCUACGAAUUUCAUAAUAACUAUUAGGUGACGUUGAAGGAAGUUAGGAGGGAUGGUCUUCAUUUCCUUUAAGUCACCAUCUUCUGCUCAUAUCCAUGCUUGCAGAGAAAUAGACUUUACCUCAAAGAAUUGCAUACUUCAACUAAUUGUUUUUGUGGAGCAGACAAGUUUCAGAUGUAUGUCACAUAUUGCAAAAAUAAGCCUGAUUCUACUCAGCUGAUAUUGGAACAUGCAGGGUCCUAUUUUGACGAGAUACAGCAGCGACAUGGAUUAGCCAAUUCCAUUUCUUCCUACCUUAUUAAACCAGUUCAGCGAAUAACGAAGUAUCAGCUCCUUUUAAAAGAGCUGCUGACGUGCUGUGAGGAAGGAAAGGGAGAGAUUAAAGAUGGCCUGGAGGUGAUGCUCAGCGUGCCGAAGCGAGCCAAUGACGCCAUGCACCUCAGCAUGCUGGAAGGUAAAGGACCCUCCAUACCCCAGUGUGCAUCUAUGCAGUUUCUAAUGACACUGUUUGUAAAUGGAUUUCCUGAACCCUAAAAAUCCCCGCUUUAUGUCUCUAUGUUAGUGGUUAAGAACAUUUCUUAAAGAAUCAGUGUCAUUGCUUUUCUUAAGGACCACAUAAAAUGCUUCUAUACUCAUUGAAA
rnacentral:sRNA from 1 species